rnacentral:rRNA from 1 species
AGCAGCCGCGGUAAUUCCAGCUCCAAUAGCGUAUAUUAAAGUUGUUGCAGUUAAAAAGCUCGUAGUUGAAUUUCGGGGUUCUACCGUUGGUCGGGCUUUGUCUGUACUGGCGUGUAGAAUUUCUACCUUCUGGGGAACUAUCAUGUUAUUAAUUUAGCGUGGUAGGAAACCAGGACCUUUACCUUGAAAAAAUUAGAGUGUUCAAAGCAGGCUUAUGUCUGAAUACAUUAGCAUGGAAUAAUAAAAUAGGACGGUGGUCCUGUUUUGUUGGUUUCUGAAUCACCGUAAUGAUUAAUAGGGAUAGUUGGGGGCAUUAGUAUUCAAUUGUCAGAGGUGAAAUUCUUGGAUUUAUUGAAGACUAACUACUGCGAAAGCAUUUGCCAAGGAUGUUUUCAUUAAUCAAGAACGAAAGUUAGGGGAUCGAAGACGAUCAGAUACCGUCGUAGUCUU